CGGUGCAUAGCGCAGCCCGGUAGCGCACCUGCCUUGGGAGCAGGGGGCCGCAGGUUCGAAUCCUGCUGCACCGACCA
rnacentral:tRNA from 1 species